CGAUCUUCCUCGCUCCCUCUGUUUCCGCGGUUACCAGCCGUUCUGUUUGGUUAUGCAAUGCACGCCGCUCUCAGGCUCUGAGAUGGGACCUAUAACCACACGGCUGCCAUCGGCUACGGACAGAAAACGGCAGGGUGGAGAGCUCGCCGCCGCAGGUCGCCGAUCUCCAGAACGUAGCCAGCCUCGGACCGGAGGCAUUUGCAUGCAUCUGUAGCUCUUCGGCACCCGCGGAUAAAAAAGGAGGGCAAGAAGGAAAAGGCGAGAGAAGGUGACGACGUUUGGCCAGCUGGCCCUCAUGUUGCCGCCAGCCCAGAUAUGCCUCUUCUGUGAUGAGACCACAGCAUGCUGGAUCUUCCCCCAGAUCUCACACGCCGUAGGAUAAGCAUCCUGGAGCCAGAGGUGGAUGUUAAGAAUGGGGACGACCACUGUCAGUAUAGAAGACGUUCGGGCGCAAGAGGGUAAAGAGGAGAGAGAGGAGUCCAUCUUGGCCCUGCUCGGAAUCAUCGGCACCUUCCUAAACCUCUUCGUCAUUGUGUUUGUUUACAUCUACACCACCCUGUGAGGAAAAGGACCACGUGGUAGGGGGCAGGUGUAAGGUGGAGUCAGACAGAGGUAUGACAGAGGGGUUGACGUCUCACAGGAAGGAAUGUGGAAGAUGACACUGGAUGGGUAGAGUGACGCUACUCUUGAACUCUGACUUUUAACGCAAAGCAAGAAAGAAGGGCGGAAUAUAUUAUUGCAAAACAUUCUGAUGGACUCCAAGACAGUGGACUUUACAUCACAAACAGGCCUCUAUGGACAAACACAGAAUGAUUUUGGAUAUGACAGAUUCAUAAGCUUACAGGACAGGAUGGUGAUGGGCCGAGGGACUUUAUGUUUCGCCAGUAACGGAAAUUACGUCAGGCACUGUCUGGCUUUGAUUACAAGGACAGACAUGCACAGAAAGAUCCAAUUAGAUUUACACAGGCCAAUGAAAAGGCUGCUUUUAAACUGUACAACUCAUCCACCAAUGGGACGAGCUUUGCAAUACAGAGAAAGAAUGGAAGACUUUAAGUAUGAAAUAUUUUUGUAAUAAAAUAAAACGACGAGACACAGACAUGGCUGAUCCGUCAGCAAACAUUUGGACCUGUGAACACGAUACUCUUUUUCAUCACAAUCCUUUCCUUUUUCUGACUGGCAGAGGGACGCCAAACAGACGAAUAUCAGUGUGUUUUCUGACUAAAGGUGUUUCUGUGAAAAUGAAAAGCUUUUGUAUCGACAACCGAUUACAUAUUAGAUGUACUGUGUCAUAGAAAAUCUCAUAAAUAAAAUGAUAUUCUAUUCUAUCGACUAGGUUGUU